rnacentral:rRNA from 1 species
UACGUAGGGUGCAAGCGUUGUCCGGAAUUAUUGGGCGUAAAGAGCUCGUAGGCGGUUUGGCAAGUCGGGUGUGAAAACUCCGGGCUCAACUCGGAGACGCCACUCGAUACUGCCAUGACUUGAGUCCGGCAGGGGAGUGCGGAAUUCCUGGUGUAGCGGUGAAAUGCGCAGAUAUCAGGAGGAACACCGGUGGCGAAGGCGGCACUCUGGGCCGGUACUGACGCUGAGGAGCGAAAGCGUGGGGAGCGAACAGG